rnacentral:lncRNA from 1 species
GCACAAAUUUGCUUGCUGGCAACCAUGUGAGAUGGGACUUUCUCCUCCUUGACUUUCGCCAUGAUUGUGAGGCCUUCCCAGCCAUGUGGAACUCUUCUUUCGUGGCAAUUUUCCCCCAGGAGGGAUUUCCCUGCAGUGGACCUCCUCCCCAGUGGUACCUUCAGCCAUCAGAACACCUCGCUUUAGAUCUGUGGGUCCCAAAUUUCAUCAAAUCCAAUGACCAUUUCUAUGAUCACUCAUUCUGGGGGCAGCCCUCUGGCAUGUAAUGAGCAGUCCUAUGGAGAGGCCCAUGUGACAGUAGCCAUGCGAGUGACACUGGAAGUGAAACCUGCAGCUCCAGUCAAGCCUUUAGAAGACUGCAGCCCUGGCUGACAGCUUGACAGCAAACUCAUGAGAGACUCUCAGCUUGAACAACUCA